AUUGAACGCUGGCGGCAGGCCUAACACAUGCAAGUCGAGCGGAUGAAGGGAGCUUGCUCCUGGAUUCAGCGACGGACGGGUGAGUAAUGCCUAGGAAUCUGCCUGGUAGUGGGGGAUAACGUCCGGAAACGGGCGCUAAUACCGCAUACGUCCUGAGGGAGAAAGUGGGGGAUCUUCGGACCUCACGCUAUCAGAUGAGCCUAGGUCGGAUUAGCUAGUUGGUGGGGUAAAGGCCUACCAAGGCGACGAUCCGUAACUGGUCUGAGAGGAUGAUCAGUCACACUGGAACUGAGACACGGUCCAGACUCCUACGGGAGGCAGCAGUGGGGAAUAUUGGACAAUGGGCGAAAGCCUGAUCCAGCAAUGCCGCGUGUGUGAAGAAGGUCUUCGGAUUGUAAAGCACUUUAAGUUGGGAGGAAGGGCAGUAAGUUAAUACCUUGCUGUUUUGACGUUACCAACAGAAUAAGCACCGGCUAACUUCGUG
rnacentral:rRNA from 1 species